UACGGGAGGCAGCAGUCGGGAAUUUUGGGCAAUGGGCGCAAGCCUGACCCAGCAACGCCGCGUGAAGGAUGAAGUCUUUCGGGAUGUAAACUUCGUAAGAAUAGGAAGAAUCAAUGACGGUACUAUUUGUAAGGUCCGGCUAACUACGUGCCAGCAGCCGCGGUAAUACGUAGGGACCAAGCGUUGUUCGGAUUUACUGGGCGUAAAGGGCGCGUAGGCGGCAUGUUAAGUCAGCUGUGAAAUCUCCGAGCUUAACUCCGAACGGUCAGCUGAUACUGAUGUGCUAGAGUGCAGAAGGGGCAAUCGGAAUUCUUGGUGUAGCGGUGAAAUGCGUAGAUAUCAAGAGGAACACCUGAGGUGAAGACGGGUUGCUGGGCUGAUACUGACGCUGAGGCGCGAAAGCUAGGGUAGCAAACGGGAUUAGAUACCCCGGUAGUCCUAGCCCUAAACGAUGAAUGCUUGGUGUCUGGAGUUUUAAUUCUCCGGGUGCCGUCGCUAACGC
rnacentral:rRNA from 1 species